rnacentral:sRNA from 3 species
GCACUACCCAAUACCAAACUGAUGCCCUGUGAUAACAGAUGUUAAUAACGGCUUCAGUACCCUUUUCCCUGGUGUUGGCGCAGUAUUCGCGCACCCCAGCUCAGCU